rnacentral:lncRNA from 1 species
GCUGUGGACUCCACCUGACUCUUGAAGCUUCACCUCGUACUGGGCUCUUAAUCAGAUAAUAAUAUCUUCUGCUCCCCUUCUUCCCCUCCAGCACAAUCCUAUCGCCGCAUAGCACCUUCAGGAUUUCUCCAUCGGCUACCAUUUUGUAGGCUCUCGAAUCCAAUCUGCUCAGUGAGAUAAGAUUUCACCUGAAAUUGGGUAUGUAUCGGACCUCC